rnacentral:rRNA from 1 species
UGGGGAAUAUUGGACAAUGGGGGGAACCCUGAUCCAGCGACGCCGCGUGAGUGAAGAAGUAUUUCGGUAUGUAAAGCUCUAUCAGCAGGGAAGAAAAUGACGGUACCUGACUAAGAAGCCCCGGCUAACUACGUGCCAGCAGCCGCGGUAAUACGUAGGGGGCAAGCGUUAUCCGGAUUUACUGGGUGUAAAGGGAGCGCAGACGGCUUGGCAAGUCUGAAGUGAAAGCCCGGGGCUUAACCCCGGGACUGCUUUGGAAACUGUGAAGCUAGAGUGUCGGAGAGGUAAGUGGAAUUCCCAGUGUAGCGGUGAAAUGCGUAGAUAUUGGGAGGAACACCGGUGGCGAAGGCGGCUUACUGGACGAUAACUGACGUUGAGGCUCGAAGGCGUGGGGAGCAAACAGGAUUAGAUACCCUGGUAGUCCACGCGGUAAACGAUGAAUACUAGGUGUCGGGGGACAUAGUCUUUCGGUGCCGCCGCUNACGCAUUAAGUAUUCCACCUGGGGAGUACGUUCGCAAGAAU